rnacentral:rRNA from 1 species
AGAGUUUGAUCAUGGCUCAGGAUGAACGCUGGCGGCGUGCUUAACACAUGCAAGUCGAACGAAGCACUUUAUUACGAUUUCUUCGGAAUGACGAUUUGGUGACUGAGUGGCGGACGGGUGAGUAACGCGUGGGUAACCUGCCUUAUACAGGGGGAUAACAGUUGGAAACGGCUGCUAAUACCGCAUAAGCGCACAGGGUCGCAUGACCUGGUGUGAAAAACUCCGGUGGUAUGAGAUGGACCCGCGUUGGAUUAGCUGGUUGGUGAGGUAACGGCCCACCAAGGCGACGACCCAUAGCCGACCUGAGAGGGUGACCGGCCACAUUGGGACUGAGACACGGCCCAAACUCCUACGGGAGGCAGCAGUGGGGAAUAUUGCACAAUGGGCGAAAGCCUGAUGCAGCGACGCCGCGUGAGCGAAGAAGUAUUUCGGUAUGUAAAGCUCUAUCAGCAGGGAAGAUAAUGACGGUACCUGACUAAGAAGCACCGGCUAAAUACGUGCCAGCAGCCGCGGUAAUACGUAUGGUGCAAGCGUUAUCCGGAUUUACUGGGUGUAAAGGGAGCGCAGGCGGUACGGCAAGUCUGAUGUGAAAGCCCGGGGCUCAACCCCGGUACUGCAUUGGAAACUGUCGAACUAGAGUGUCGGAGGGGUAAGUGGAAUUCCUAGUGUAGCGGUGAAAUGCGUAGAUAUUAGGAGGAACACCAGUGGCGAAGGCGGCUUACUGGACGAUAACUGACGCUGAGGCUCGAAAGCGUGGGGAGCAAACAGGAUUAGAUACCCUGGUAGUCCACGCCGUAAACG